UACUGACGUUUAAUAAAAACAUUUUCACUGAAAUCGAAAAUUGUGAUGAAAAAAUAGGAUUUAUCUCGUAAAUUAUUGUGAUAACCAUUCAAAAUCAUUGUUGAACAUCAAAUACGUAGGAAAUGACGACUGUUGGAAGUGCACCUUUUGCGAACGAUGACACGAUCCCAUUUGGCGAGGAAGAACAAUAUCAAUCCGGCAAAUUACCGCAUCCAUAUGUCGCAUUUUUCCACUUGUUUUUCCGUGGCAUGGCCAUCGUUAUGUACAUGUUCUGCGGUAUAUUCAUCAAUUCAUUCAUCACGAGUUUUGUGUUUGUAGUGCUGUUAUUGUCCGCUGAUUUUUGGACGGUG